AGGCGCUUAGGUUAGCAUAAACCGAGGGCCUUCAAAGCCCUAAUCGAAGGUGAAACUCCUUCAGCCCCUGCCCCAC
rnacentral:tRNA from 1 species